UAACGCGUGAGCAACCAACCUUCUGCAGUGGGACAACAAUUAGAAAUGAUUGCUAAUACCGCAUAAGACCACAGCAUCGCAUGGUGCAGUGAGAAAAGCUGAGGCGGCAGAAGACGGGCUCGCGUUCGAUUAGCUGGAUGGUGAGGUAACGGCUCACCAUGGCGACGAUCGAUAGCCGGACUGAGAGGUCGACCGGCCACAUUGGGACUGAGACACGGCCCAGACUCCUACGGGAGGCAGCAGUGGGGAAUAUUGCACAAUGGGGGAAACCCUGAUGCAAGCGACGCCGCGUGAGUGAUGAAGUAUUUCGGUAUGUAAAGCUCUUUUAGCAGGGAAGAAAAUGACAGUACCUGAAGAAACAGCCCCGGCUAACUACGUGCCAGCCGCAGC
rnacentral:rRNA from 1 species